rnacentral:rRNA from 1 species
AUUGAACGCUGGCGGCAUGCUUUACACAUGCAAGUCGAACGGUAACAGGCCUUCGGGUGCUGACGAGUGGCGAACGGGUGAGUAAUGCAUCGGAACGUGCCCAGAGGUGGGGGAUAACGCAGCGAAAGCUGUGCUAAUACCGCAUGUGAUCUGAGGAUGAAAGCGGGGGACCAGGCAGCAAUGUUUGGCCUCGCGCCUUUGGAGCGGCCGAUGUCAGAUUAGGUAGUUGGUGGGGUAAAGGCCUACCAAGCCGACGAUCUGUAGCUGGUCUGAGAGGACGACCAGCCACACUGGGACUGAGACACGGCCCAGACUCCUACGGGAGGCAGCAGUGGGGAAUUUUGGACAAUGGGCGCAAGCCUGAUCCAGCAAUGCCGCGUGCGGGAAGAAGGCCUUCGGGUUGUAAACCGCUUUUGUACGGAACGAAAAAGCUCUGGCUAAUACCUGGGGCUGAUGACGGUACCGUAAGAAUAAGCACCGGCUAACUACGUG